rnacentral:lncRNA from 1 species
UGGUUUGCUAUGUGAUAUUCGGCUCUCAGUUCAAAUUCCUUCUCAUUACUAUCAAUUAUUUUCUGAUUAUUUAGCAACUGUAACAAAAGAUGAACCGAACAAAGUAAUGAACCCCGGAUUGAAGAGGUAGCUGGUGAGAUAAGAAAUUUUCAACCUAUGAUCCUCAUUGGUAGAAGGAACUUCAGACAACCAGUAUAAUUUCAAAAAGGAGGAGUAAGCAAGGAGAAAGGAGGCGGCAGUAAAAAAGUCCUAGUUUACACUCUUUCCCUUUAUAAACUUUACCCAAGAAAUGAAAAGCCUAUAUCUCCUAUUGGCCGAAAAAUUUGAAGUUCAUGAAUUGAAAAAUAAGAAAAAUGGGGCCCAAGUUAGAUAAGUUGGACAAAUGCCUGUCACGCUGGAACAAUACGCACCACAGUCUCCCCUCUCUGCGACGGUGGAGCGCUGCCUGCCACGGUGGAAGGAUGAAAGGUAAAGGCCGAAACUCUUGCCUGCCUCCGUUCUCGUUCCUUGCCACUCUGGAGUUUUUUCCUUCCUGCCACGUUGGAACAAUAUUUACAAAGUCUCCCCUCCCUGCCACGGUGGAGCGCUGCUUGCCAUGCUGGACGGUUGAAAGGUAAAGGCCGAAACUUUCGCUUCUACUUUCGCUUCCACUUCCGUUUCUUGCCACGCUGGAGUUUUUUCCCUCCUGCCACGCUGGAAUUUUCCCAGUUUUUGGCGACAAGGCUGAUGCAUCUCAAUUUCAGUUUUCUCUCCCAAAACGGUCGUCUUUCUCUCAUGCACCCAUCGACCUAUCAUGACUCGCACAAAUCUGGAAUUCCCGUUUACCAUCUCCGGUGAAAAAUCAGAACUCUCAAUUCCCAGCAAAGCCCCUUGUUCUGCCCAAAAAUGCGGCAGCACUCGCCGCUGCCUCAUUAUCUAAGCCCCGGCGAGGCCAGCGACUUGUCUGGUCAGCAAUACCUUCGCCCAACUCACCACCUCUAUCCCUCUCAUCUCUCUCAUACACCACAGAAUAAGCUCCUAUACAAAUUCGAGCUAUACCGCCGCCCUAUCUGGCGAAAAUUAGUGCCGAGAAGAAUCAUCACCCACAGUCGUGCCCUAAGGAUCCCCAGCUCCGACCUCCAAUCGUAAACCACAAAGUUGGAAAAUCAAAUUCCCCCACAAACCGACCAUGUCCAGUGAGAAUCGAUGAUUCUCUGACAAAUUUGAACCAACCCAUCUCUCUCCAUUUUCUACAACAAAUGCUCCCAAAUCCAUAUCACGGUAGAAAGCUUUGGUCACUCAAAUCUCAGAUCUAAAAGCCCCAACAUAAGAAUCACUGGAGAAUGUCGUCGGCGUAAAGACCUUCCACCGCGGGCCGCGGGCCAUUCUCAGCCACGACUUUCACUAACUUCGACCACCAAUAUCACCCAUUUUCAAUAAGAUCAGAAAUCCCAAAUCCUUAUAUAUAUACAUAGGGGCGCGCUCCAGUGAGACCCCCUAUUUUUCGUGUAACAUGAGUACAAUGAAUAAGACAUAUAAUAUUAAUGAACAAAACGUAUAUCUAAUGAACAAGAUGUAUAUACUGAUGAAAAAUAAAAUUUAAAAAAUUCGUAAUGAAUAAAACAUAUAUACUGAUGAACAUGGCCGUACAUACUGAUGAACAAUGCAGUAUAUACUGAUGAAUAACAAAAUUGAAAAUAUUAUGCUCCCUCCAGGAUUUGAACCCUGCGAAAAAAAAUAUCCUUCAGAUUCAAUAUCAGCCAUAUGAUUGAUAAAAUAAACGCAGCAGAUCGUGCCCUAGAUCUCACUAAAAUUAGGGGGUCUCAUUGGAGUGGCCCUCUAUAUAUAUAUGUAUGUGUGUAUGUGGUGUGUUUAUCGUGGAAUACAUUAUGUAUAAUUUAGAACCAAUUAAAAUACAAUGCAUCUACUAUAUAAAUUAAUGCAUUCGUUAUUAAAUUUAAUGCAUCCAAAAAUAAUAAAUUUUUUGCUCCUUUCAGGAUUCGAACCCAUGAUCUGCAUUCAUCCACCNCUAUAUAUAUAUAUAUAUAUAUAUAUAUAUAUAUAUAUUCAUUUUCUGAAAAAUCGCUUUCUAUUUUCCUUGGAAAAAAAUCUGAAAUACCUUCAUCUCCUUCGCCACGACCG